rnacentral:lncRNA from 1 species
GAAUAUAGUUAUAGGUGGAGUUGCUUAAGCAAAAUCUCAAUCAAAUGACACUCUCCAAUGACAUAUGCCACUGGAGCAUAUAGGAGAACGUGGUAUGAUUGUGUUUCACAAGAGGAAUUUGUUGAAGAGAGUAAAAUCAUGCAAGCUAGGUUUCUAAAAAUUUCUUGUACUUGGAAAACAGUCCAAAGUAUAGCUCAAGACGGGAAAACACAAGACAGAGGAGAUUAUUGAUUAUGUGCAUUCUAAUGUUCGGGGACCAAUGAGGGAGUUGUCUAAAGGUGGAUCUCAAUAUUUCAUUACUUUCAUUAAUGACUUCUCUAGAAAAGUUUGAGUGUAGUUCAUGAAGCACAAGUCCAAAACCUUUGCCAAGUUCAAAUCGUGGAAAGCGGAAGUAGAGAACCAAACGGGUAGGAAAAUUAAGUAUCUCAGUAUAUAAAACAAUACAGAGUACUCAUAUUCACAAUUUUUGAAUUCUGCGAGGAGCAUGGUAUUUAGCAGUACUAUAUAAUUCGCAGGGCACCACAGCAGAAUGAUGUAGCGGAGAGGAUGAACACAACAAUUGCAAAAUAUCUAAGAUGUUUGAGGUUGAAUACAAGACUUCCGAAGAGUUUUUGGGCAGAAGCGGUGAACAUGGCAUGUUAUGUCAUAAACAGAUCACCAAACAGCACUAGAUGAAAAAGUUGUAGAGGAAGUUUGGAUAGAUAAUAAAGUUGAUUAUUCUGGAUUGAGAGUAUUUGGGUGUCCGGCUUAUGUGCAGGUAUCUAAUGAUCAAAAAUCCAAACUUGAUCCGAAAUCAAGAAAGUACAUUUUCUGGGCUAUGUGAAAGGUGUAAAAGAUUACAAGUUUUGGGAUCCAAAAGCAAAGAAGGUGAUAAGUAAGAAUGCAGUCUUUGAUGAAACAUUUAUUCUUAAAGCUUUUUCAGAUGGAGAAAAGCUCAAUUCAGGCAAGGGCAGCAACAAGAGUCAAGUGGUACACGCAGAUCUAGACAAUAUCAACAUGGAUAUUAAUGUUCGGGGAGUGGGCAGUUCUAGCUCAAAAGAGAAGCAGCAUCAUAGUAUUACCACAGAAAGACCAUGUCGCACUAUCAGACAACCGGUGAAGCAUGAAUUCAAGGAUUCAAUUUCUUAUGCACUCAUUACCAGCAAUAGCGAUCCUGUAACUUUUCAAGAUGCCGUUGGAGAAAAGUAAAAGCAUAGGGGCUAUGAUGGAGGAAAUUGAGUCAUUGUAUAAAAAUCACACCUGGCAUUUUGUGGAGCUUUCAAAGGGAAAGAACCCGAUAGGGUAUAAGUGGUUGUAUAGAAAGAGAGAAGCAAUAUUAGAAAAGGAAAGGGAAAGAUACAAAGCUCGAUUAAUAGCUAAUGGAUACCCACAAAGGAAAGGAGUAGUUUAUAAUGAGAUUUUCUCUCCGAUCAUAGACAUACUUCCAUCAGAAUUGUUUGAACAAUGGUGGCUAGUUUAGAUUUGGAGUUAGAGCAGCUAGAUGUGAAGACUGCUUUCUUUCAUGAUGAAUUGGAGUAGAUUUCAUAGAACAGCCGGAGGGAUUCUUGGAACUAGGAACAGAGAAUCUAGUGUGAGAACUGAAAAAGUCUUUAUAUGAGCUUAAGCAUUCUUCACGGCAAUGGUACAAGAAGUUCGACUCCCAGAUGAUUUAGAUUGGCUACAAUCACUCUUGUUGUGUUUACUAUAGAGUUUUUGAGGAUGAUUCGUAUAUUUUCUAGAUGUUGUAUGUUGAUGGCAUGCUAAUUGCUGCUAAGAACAUGAACGGGUAGACAUAUUGAAGUUUUUG